rnacentral:lncRNA from 1 species
UUCGAUAUCAAAGCCAAGUAAAGUUUUGAGAAACUGUGGCCAAGAAUCUGGGAAGAAAAUGAUCAAAGGAUUGAGGUUUCAAUGUAAUAUUUAAGAGGCAGCUGGUGACUCAGUGGAUAGAAAGCCAGGCCUGAAGAUGGAUACUUACGGGUUCAAAUCUGACCUCUGAAACUUCCUAGCCAUGUGUUCCUAGGCAACUCAAUUAACCCCAAUUUCCUAGCCCUUACCACUCUUCUGCCUGGGUACCACUGCUUAGUAUUGACUCUAUGAUAGAAGGUUAUGGGCUUUCAGCCAAUGUUCCUUCAGAAAGGAAAAGAAGGGGAAUGGAAAUAGAUUCUGAGCAGGAAGAAGGUAAACAUGGUGGCAGUCUAGAUGCAGGAUGCUUCCUCUCCCCAGCACCCAACGACAUAGACUACCUCAAAAGACCAUAA